UUUUAUUUUAUUUUUUUCCUACGGAGGGAGUAGCCUUCAAUCGGAAUUCAAAGCAACGCUCAAACCGCACUAGAUUCGAGCUGCUUCCUGCUCGCAACCUCAAUUCCUCAAACGCUUGGCUUCAAGCCUUCAAUCGGAAUACACGAUAUGAGCUAAAUCGACUCGGGGAAGCCGUCGAUUCCGCGCGAAAAAAAAAAGCCUAUCCAAAUGGCCGGAUUCGGCAGGGACGAGGGAUUCUGGGCAGUGAUGGCGACGAAGGGGGGUUGGGGAGGAGAAAGAGGAGCUGGGGCCGCCGCCGGGCCAGUGCUGCAAGGCCACUCCGCCACUACGAAUCUGGGAGCCUCAUCACCGCCUCACCAGAACCACCGUCCCGGAGGUGACAGGGGAAAAAAAACGUGGACUCAAGUACGUAACCUGAAGGGAGCCCAAGAAAAAUCUUGAACCCAAGCAUGGAAGCGUGAAGAUCCAAACACAGCCUACAAAAUUGGUGGAAGCAGAGCAGUCGCAUACCUUUGCCAGAUCACCUCCUUCUCCUCAAUUAGCCUUGGAAUGGUGGUAGUGUGCUGUACCUGUAUUGUAUGCAGCAUCAGCAUGCUCAGGGAGUCAAGGAGUCAGAGGCAAGGUGCACACUAAUCUAUGGGCCUGGCUGAAGGGUUGUUGAGAUCUGAAACCAGGAAACCGCAGCGGCUUUGAACUUUGCUGCGGCUGCGGACUCCAAGGUACUUCAUUAAGGACAUGUGGGCAUACUGCGCGAUGGUUGGUUUCUUAUCAUGAACUUCCAUAAUUUUAAAGAGACUUGUGACCUCCAGCAGGUGUGUCGGAUGGGUGUUUUGAUUUCUCAUAAAUGUUUACUUCAAAGCUUCCAACUUUUGAUAAUCUUUUUGUCGAGCUCCAAUGGUGUCAGACGUGCGGCAUCAGUGAAUGGCGUUCCUUCUUCCUCAAGUGUAACUUCUUUUUUCCGCAAACGUGCAAAUAACGUGUUUUUUUUUUUUGAUGAUGUGUAUCCAUCCGGCUUGCAGUUGAGACGUCACUGUCUGAGAAUCACUACAUAGUACUCUGCAUUCUUUUUGGGUAACAGGCUAACAGCUGCUGGCUGCAGUGCUGCCGCAACCAUUUUCAAAGA